CCCAACACAGCCACGUCUCUGAAAACAAAACAGCAACCCUCUUCCAUUUUUCAUCAUCUUGGUUGGUUGGUGGGUCCUUUGCGUUCUUAUAAGAUUACACUGCCUUACUCCCAACCCAGGAUCCACACAUUCUAACAUGCAACGUUAACCCCACGAACAAAUCAUCAUUUUCUUUAUGCUUUUCUUUCUCUUUUCCUUGCCAACUUUUUCUCUUUUUCCUCUCUGCUUGUGUGUUCUUCACCCCCACACUUUUUCUGAGACCGAGAUCCGUAAUACCCUUUUUGCAUCCAGUUUUUGAUUGACGUGUUUCUCUUAGUCUGGUCUUGUUCUGAAGCUCCUUGGUUCAUUUGGGGUGGUUAUUCUCUUCGACCCUUUGAUUUUCUAAUUGGGUUGGUAUUAAAAAGUUGGGAACUUGUGUAUUUCUUGGCGAAUCUUAGUUUUGCAAGUUUUUUUUUUUUUUCAUACCCUUUCUGGCAUCAUUUCUUGGGUUUUGGCCUAUUGGGUGCUGACAGUUUUGUUGUGGGAUUUGAGAUUUCUCAAUGGGCUGUUUGGAUGAAGGAAAUGGGGAGCUUGAAAAUGGAGUGAGUAUGGGGUGUGGUGAAGUGGAUUUUGAGGAAGAAGCAAAGCCAGAUAUUGCUGCCAUUGAGGAUGCUGUGAAGGUGCUGUUGCUCGGUCUUGGGGAAGAUAUCAACAGGGAAGGGCUUAGGAAGACACCACUUCGGGUUGCCAAAGCCCUUCGUGAGGGAACCAGAGGGUACAGACAAAAAGUGAAGGACAUUGUUGAAGGUGCUUUAUUCCCCGAAGCAGGUCUAGAAAAUAAUAGAAUUGGUCAUGCAGGGGGUGGAGGUGGACUAGUGAUUGUCCGAGAUCUUGACCUUUAUUCCUAUUGCGAGUCUUGCUUGCUACCAUUCCAAAUCAAGUGUCAUGUGGGGUAUGUCCCUUCUGGCCAAAGAGUUGUGGGUUUAAGCAAGCUCUCUCGUGUGGCUGAUGUAUUUGCCAAACGACUCCAAGAGCCUCAGCGUCUGGCAGAUGAGGUUUGUUCAGCAUUGUAUCAGGGAAUAAAGCCAGCAGGUGUUGCUCUUGUGCUUCAGUGUACACAUAUCCACUUUCCGGACUUAGAGUCGAUCUUUCUUGAAUCGAGUCAGCAAGCAUGGUUGAAGACCCUUGUUUUGUCAGGUUCUGGAAUUUUUGAUGACAGAAAUGCAGAUGUAUGGUCUGAUUUCUUUUGCCUUCUUAAAUUUAGAGGUAUAGAAAUAGAAAAAGCACAUCUAAGAGGAUCAUCUGACCAAUGGUGGUGUCCAUCUCUGUCUGCUCUUUCUGCUAAAGUUUCCUCCAAAACUGUACCGGUCAAUCCAGUCAUGGUCACUGCAGUAUCUUCAAUCCUUAAAUCUUUGGGAGAAGAUUCAUUGAGGAAGGAGCUAACAGGGACACCUGGUCGAUUUGUGAAAUGGCUAUUGAACUUCCAAAGCAUUGACAUGGAUGUGAAGCUGAAUGGUUCCCUUUCUUGUGGUACUGAUACUUUUAACCCUGAUAGGGAGGUAAACUUCAAGGACAGACAAAUACACUGUGAGUUGAACUUGCCCUUUUGGUCACAAUGUGAGCAUCAUAUACUACCAUUUCAUGGUGUAGUUCACAUAGGAUACUUCAUUUCAGAAGGAUUUAAUCCCAUUGCAAAAUCCCUUGUACAGUCUAUAGUACACUUUUAUGGUUUCAAACUUCAGGUUCAGGAAAGGCUUACAAGACAAAUAGCAGAAACCAUUGCACCACUUUUAUUAGGUGGGCAUGUAAUAGUAGUUGUGGAGGCAAGCCACACAUGUAUGAUUUCUAGGGGAAUUGAGAAGUUUGGAAGUAGUACAGCUACCAUUGCUGUAUUAGGUCGCUUUUCAACUGACCUUGCUGCAAAGGCCAUGUUCUUUCAGAGUGUUGCUAGUGCUACAACUUCUGGGGGGCAAUAGUUCCUGUUGGUGCUCACUUGAAUUGAUUCCACUCAUUCUCUGCACUUUUCAAGGUUUUGCUACCACCAUUUGAUAAAUUCAGAAGAGCUCUUUCAUGAAUAGUUUCACUACAUUUCAAAAUCACCCAAUUUUAUUCCGGUGGCAAAGGCUUACUACCAUCAUAAGAGAUUGAUAGUAGAUCUUCAUAUUUUGUCUUCCCCCAUUUUAUGUGAUUACAUUAUAUAUAUGUAUUAUGCAUACAUGUAUGUAUGUAUAUGUAUAUAUAUACAUCCCUUAAUAAUAAUUCAAGGGAUGAAUCUUUUUCCAGAUUUACCUGCUGCCAGAUUUACGGUGGAUAUCACUCAUUUUCAUGAUUUUAUGGGAAGGUUCAACAAGGCAGUUUGGAAUCAUAUAUCUUGAGUUGGUUCUGAAUUCUUAAGAAUGUCUAAAGCAGCAUCUGCUAGAUUUUUCGGUCAUUGCUUGUAUGGUUAAUGAUUGUAUGGAUUAUAGCAGAGAAUAAAAAUGGCAAACUAUGUUAACAGUAUUGGUUGUAAAUUGUUCUCUGUCUUCAUUGUAUUCAUCAUAGAGAUCUAUAAACAAAUACAAGAGACAAUCAUUGGCUUCCCGCACAAUCAGGUAACUGCAAAGGGAAAUCUAACAACAAUGCAUAAAUCACAAAUGAGCACUAUAGGCAGUUAAAAAUAUAUAUUACCUGGAAGCAUUCAUGUGGGGAUUGGAUUCUGGUUGCUAAUAUAAUCACACUAAGUCAUGUAAGUUACUGGGUCUGUUGGUGAUCUUCUUGGAUAUAUCCUCACAAUUAUUCUCACUAGUGUCUUCUGAUGCUAGAUCAAGACAUUGAGCAAGCGGUAUUAUCAAGUUUUGAAGCCAAGAUGGCUAAAGGUUUCCACCAAGGGAUGGUUAUCCAGAGCACUCAGGGUAAUGUCAAUCAUCAGUUAAAUUGUAAUGGUUUUGUAUACAGAUUCAUUGAAAAUCAAUCAACUUCACUUUGUAAUUGAUUAAUGCAACGAUAUACAUUUUUAAUUAUUGCAUUUUACUUGAAAUAAUUGAUUAAGUAA